AGUGAACGCUGGCGGUAGGCCUAACACAUGCAAGUCGAACGGCAGCACAGAGUAGCUUGCUCCUUGGGAGGCGAGUGGCGGACGGGUGAGGAAUACAUCGGAAUCUACUCUGUCGUGGGGGAUAACGUAGGGAAACUUACGCUAAUACCGCAUACGACCUACGGGUGAAAGCAGGGGACCUUCGGGCCUUGCGCGAUUGAAUGAGCCGAUGUCGGAUUAGCUAGUUGGCGGGGUAAAGGCCCACCAAGGCGACGAUCCGUAGCUGGUCUGAGAGGAUGGUAAGCCACACUGGAACUGGGACACGGUCCAGACUCCUACGGGAGGCAGCAGUGGGGAAUAUUGGACAAUGGGCGCAAGCCUGAUCCAGCCAUACCGCGUGGGUGAAGAAGGCCUUCGGGUUGUAAAGCCCUUUUGUUGGGAAAGAAAUCCAGCUGGCUAAUACCCGGUUGGGAUGACGGUACCCAAAGAAUAAGCACCGGCUAACUUCGUGCCAGCCGCCGCGGUAA
rnacentral:rRNA from 1 species